UUUUAUUUUUUUUAAAUUAAUAUUUAUUAAAUAAUUUGUUUUGUAAAUGAGGAAAACGGCUUUUCCUUAUUCUAGUAAACAUUUUAAUUGUUACUCAGUUUUACGCUAUAUAAACCAUGGAAGUGAUGUUUAUUGUUAUCAGUUGAAAAAUGAAACUUACAUUAUUGUUGGUACUUUUUGCUCUUUUGAGUACUUUGAUGAUGACAGGAGUCAUUGCUGAAACUUGCCGAAAGGAAGGGCAAAGCUGCAAAAAACAUAGACAAUGCUGCAGCAACAGUUGCGAUAUGAAAAGAAGCGUGUGCAAGUAAAUAGCAUCAGGAGAUGAAAAUUAAUAAACUCUACAUAUAAGCUAUGAAUGAGUAUCAUCAAAAUCUGCGUAAAUUUGAUUUUUAGUACCUCACAACAUAUUAAAAAUAAAAUUUCUUUUGAGAAUUUUUUAUUUAAUAUAAUAAUAAACUAUGUUCUCCUAAAAAUAAAUAUUUCCAGAAUCAA